GAUGAACGCUGGCGGCGUGCCUAAUACAUGCAAGUCGAGCGAACAGACGAGGAGCUUGCUCCUCUGACGUUAGCGGCGGACGGGUGAGUAACACGUGGAUAACCUACCUAUAAGACUGGGAUAACUUCGGGAAACCGGAGCUAAUACCGGAUAAUAUAUUGAACCGCAUGGUUCAAUAGUGAAAGACGGUUUUGCUGUCACUUAUAGAUGGAUCCGCGCCGCAUUAGCUAGUUGGUAAGGUAACGGCUUACCAAGGCAACGAUGCGUAGCCGACCUGAGAGGGUGAUCGGCCACACUGGAACUGAGACACGGUCCAGACUCCGACGGGAGGCAGCAGUAGGGAAUCUUCCGCAAUGGGCGAAAGCCUGACGGAGCAACGCCGCGGGAGUGAUGAAGGUCUUCGGAUCGUAAAACUCUGUUAUUAGGGAAGAACAAAUGUGUAAGUAACUAUGCACGUCUUGACGGUACCUAAUCAGAAAGCCACGGCUAACUACGU
rnacentral:rRNA from 1 species